rnacentral:rRNA from 1 species
CUUGACACACAUAAGAGGUCCAGCCUGCCCAGUGACUAAGUUCAACGGCCGCGGUAUCCUAACCGUGCGAAGGUAGCGUAAUCACUUGUUCUUUAAAUGAGGACUAGUAUGAAUGGCACCACGAGGGUUAUACUGUCUCCUUUUUUUAAUCAAUGAAACUGAUCUCCCCGUGAAGAAGCGGGGAUAAAUCUAUAAGACGAGAAGACCCUAUGGAGCUUUAAACAAUUAUAGCACUGGCCCACACCUCUUAUUCUUCUGAGAUAUAAUUAUUAUACAGGCCAACAUGACUAUUAGUUUUAGGUUGGGGUGACCGCGGAGCAAAAAUUAACCUCCACGUUGAACGGAGCUACUCCUGAGCUAAAAGCUACAACUUUAAGCACCAAUAAACUGACAUCAAUUGACCCAAUAUAUUGAACAACGAAC